rnacentral:rRNA from 1 species
UAUAAUGACUCUCGACAACGGAUAUCUAGGCUCUUGCAUCGAUGAAGAACGCAGCGAAAUGCGAUACUUGGUGUGAAUUGCAGAAUCCCGUGAAUCAUCGAGUCUUUGAACGCAAGUUGCGCCCGAGGCCUUCUGGAUAAGGGCACGUCUGCCUGGGCGUC